rnacentral:misc_RNA from 1 species
CAACCCUCAGAACCCCUGUAUUUUUAUGCUGGGUGUGCUGGUGUUGGGGCUUCUGCGGCUGCCGCAGGCCCUGAAAAACAGUGGCGGGCUCCGCUAUACUCCGAGCGCAGUAAUACUUCUCGCUCAGGGCGUGUAGUGGGGAUCUUGUCUUCUAAAAAACUUUUAAU